rnacentral:rRNA from 1 species
UACGUAGGGUGCAAGCGUUAAUCGGAAUUACUGGGCGUAAAGCGUGCGCAGGCGGUGAUGUAAGACAGAUGUGAAAUCCCCGGGCUCAACCUGGGAACUGCAUUUGUGACUGCAUCGCUGGAGUGCGGCAGAGGGGGAUGGAAUUCCGCGUGUAGCAGUGAAAUGCGUAGAGAUGUGGAGGAACACCGAUGGCGAAGGCAGCCCCCUGGGACCUGACUGACGCUCAUGUACGAAAGCGUGGGGAGCAAACAGG